GCCUUCCCAAGGGCAACUUACUGAUGUUGAUUCUGGAGCACUUUUUCGAAGCAUCACAGCGGGAACUCAUGUAACUGUAACAGCAUGUGCAGGGAAACUCAAAGAAUUUCCACCUGAACAGCGACAGGGGCUCUCAGAAAAACUGAUUUAACAAAUGGAAGAAGAAAAGAGGUAAGGAGGAAAACAAGAUAGAUUAAGAGAGAAGACCCCAGGUGGAACUUCCAGUCCACUCGAAAAAAGUGUUUGAAGAUAUUGCUUACCGAUCAUCAGAAAGAGCUCCUAGCAUCAGUCUCCUCCUUAAGCAGACCCAGACUCCAGUCCUCUUUCUGCUACUGCCUUGACCUUCUGCUACUUAAUUGACCCUGAUCAACUCACUCAUCCUUGCUGUCAACAGGGAGGCUGACA